rnacentral:rRNA from 1 species
GUAGCAUAAUCAUUUGUUUUUUAAUUGAUAACUGGAAUGAACGGCUUUACAAUGUAAAUCUUUUUUUAUUUAAAAAUUAAAUUUAUAGUUUGAGUAAGAAUACUUAGAUACAAAAAAGUGACGAUAAGACCCUGAAAGCUUUAUGUUAUUUUAUAUUAUUUUAGUUAUUUUAAUAAAGGUGUAAUUUUACAAUUAGUUGGGGAAAUUUUUAUAAACAAUCUGUAAUUAAUUAGUACUUUGUUUUUAUGGUCCGUUAGAUAGUGAUAAGUAGGAGAAGUUACUUCAGGGAUAACAGCAUAAUAAUUUUGUAGAGUUCUUAUCGAUAAAAUUGACUGUGACCUCGAUGUUGAAUUAAGAGUUCUGGUUAAGGUAAAAUGUAGCUUAGAUGGUUUGUUCAACCUUUAAUUUCUU